CUAGUAACGGCGAGUGAAGCGGCAACAGCUCAAAUUUGAAAUCUGGCUUCGGCCCGAGUUGUAAUUUGUAGAGGAUGCUUUUGGCGAGGUGCCUUCUGAGUUCCCUGGAACGGGACGCCAUAGAGGGUGAGAGCCCCGUAUAGUCGGACACCUAGCCUCUGUAAAGCUCCUUCGACGAGUCGAGUAGUUUGGGAAUGCUGCUCAAAAUGGGAGGUAUAUCUCUUCUAAAGCUAAAUAUAGGCCAGAGACCGAUAGCGCACAAGUAGAGUGAUCGAAAGAUGAAAAGCACUUUGAAAAGAGGGUUAAAUAGCACGUGAAAUUGUUGAAAGGGAAGCGCUUGUGACCAGACUUGUGCCGGGCUGAUCAUCCAGUGUUCUCACUGGUGCACUCGACCCGGCUCAGGCCAGCGUCGGUUGUCGCGGGGGGAUAAAAGCUUCGGGAACGUGGCUCCUCCGGGAGUGUUAUAGCCCGUUGCUUAAUACCCCCGCGGCGACCGAGGUUCGCGCUCUGCAAGGACGCUGGCAUAAUGGUCAUCAGCGACCCGUCUUGAAACACGGACCAAGGAGUCGAGGUUUUGCGCGAGUGUUUGGGUGUAAAACCCGCACGCGUAAUGAAAGUGAACGUAGGUGAGAGCUUCGGCGCAUCAUCGACCGAUCCUGAUGUAUUCGGAUGGAUUUGAGUAAGAGCGUAGAGCCUCGGACCCGAAAGAUGGUGAACUAUGCCUGAAUAGGGUGAAGCCAGAGGAAACUCUGGUGGAGGCUCGCAGCGGUUCUGACGUGCAUAUCGAUCGUCAAAUUUGGGCAUGGGGGCGAAAGACUAAUCGAACCAUCUAGUAGCUGGUUACCGCCGAAGUUUCCCUCAGGAUAGCAGUGUUGUUCUUCAGUUUUAUGAGGUAAAGCGAAUGAUUAGGGACUCG
rnacentral:rRNA from 1 species